UACAGAGGUCUCAAGCGUUGUUCGGAAUCACUGGGCGUAAAGGGCGUGUAGGCGGGUAGAUAAGUCGGGCGUGAAAUCCCUAGGCUCAACCUAGGAACUGCACUCGAAACUGUUUAUCUUGAGUGCCGGAGAGGAAAGCGGAAUUCCUGGUGUAGAGGUGAAAUUCGUAGAUAUCAGGAGGAACACCAGUGGCGAAGGCGGCUUUCUGGACGGUAACUGACGCUGAGACGCGAAAGCGUGGGGAGCAAACAGG
rnacentral:rRNA from 1 species